AGUGAACGCUGGCGGUAGGCCUAACACAUGCAAGUCGAACGGCGGCACAGUAAGAGCUUGCUCUUACGGGUGGCGAGUGGCGGACGGGUAAGGAAUACAUCGGAAUCUACUUUUUCGUGGGGGAUAACGUAGGGAAACUUACGCUAAUACCGCAUACGACCUACGGGUGAAAGCAGGGGAUCUUCGGACCUUGCGCGAUUGAAUGAGCCGAUGUCGGAUUAGCUAGUUGGCGGGGUAAAGGCCCACCAAGGCGACGAUCCGUAGCUGGUCUGAGAGGAUGAUCAGCCACACUGGAACUGAGACACGGUCCAGACUCCUACGGGAGGCAGCAGUGGGGAAUAUUGGACAAUGGGCGCAAGCCUGAUCCAGCCAUACCGCGUGGGUGAAGAAGGCCUUCGGGUUGUAAAGCCCUUUUGUUGGGAAAGAAAAGCAGCAGGUUAAUACCCCGCUGUUCUGACGGUACCCAAAGAAUAAGCACCGGCUAACUUCGUG
rnacentral:rRNA from 1 species